GGCAGAGAGUGGCCACGUGUGC
rnacentral:siRNA from 1 species